GAUGAACGCUGGCGGCGUGCCUAAUACAUGCAAGUCGAGCGAAUGGAUUAAGAGCUUGCUCUUAUGAAGUUAGCGGCGGACGGGUGAGUAACACGUGGGUAACCUGCCCAUAAGACUGGGAUAACUCCGGGAAACCGGGGCUAAUACCGGAUAACAUUUUGAACCGCAUGGUUCGAAAUUGAAAGGCGGCUUCGGCUGUCACUUAUGGAUGGACCCGCGUCGCAUUAGCUAGUUGGUGAGGUAACGGCUCACCAAGGCAACGAUGCGUAGCCGUCGUGAGAGGGUGACCGGCGACACUGGGACGGAGAACCGGCCCAGACUCCGACGGGAGGCAGCAGUAGGGAAGCUUCCGCAAUGGACGAAAGUCUGACGGAGCAACGCCGCGUGAGUGAUGAAGGCUUUCGGGUCGUAAAACUCUGUUGUUAGGGAAGAACAAGUGCUAGUUGAAUAAGCUGGCACCUUGACGGUACCUAACCAGAAAGCCACGGCUAACUACGUGCCAGCCGCCGCAGUAA
rnacentral:rRNA from 1 species